rnacentral:rRNA from 1 species
CAGCCGCCGCGGGAAUACGUAGGUGGCAAGCGUUGUCCGGAAUUAUUGGGCGUAAAGGGCUCGCAGGCGGUUUCUUAAGUCUGAUGUGAAAGCCCCCGGCUCAACCGGGGAGGGUCAUUGGAAACUGGGAAACUUGAGUGCAGAAGAGGAGAGUGGAAUUCCACGUGUAGCGGUGAAAUGCGUAGAGAUGUGGAGGAACACCAGUGGCGAAGGCGACUCUCUGGUCUGUAACUGACGCUGAGGAGCGAAAGCGUGGGGAGCGAACAGGAUUAGAUACCACAGUAGUCCCUGUCUCUUAUAA